AAAACAUGAGAACAUUCCUAAAAGAAAUGUGACAAGCAUCAACACCGUGAAGACACACAAUACAAGGAGAUCAAGGAAUUUGGUAUGCCUAGCUUCAUUCUGACAGGAAGCAGAGCAGGCUAUGGUGGGCAGACCAAGCAGAUUUUCUGGAAAAGUCUCUGUAAAACUACAAAGAAGAUUGUGAUGAGGCUUAAAUGUGUUGAGCCCAAAUGCAGAUCUAAGAGAAUGCUGACUAUUAAGAAAUGCAAGAAUUUUAAAUUAGGGAGAGAUGAGAGAAAAAGCCAAAUGAUCCAGUUCUAA
rnacentral:lncRNA from 1 species